AUACGCUCUAGAAGGCGACACGCUUUCAGCUGAAGUUGAAGUUCUGGAACUCAGUGUGUACCGUGACCUGGUAUCUGGACCGGUGUUCCCGAAGACAGGGAAUCCCUCCAAACGGCUGCCGCGUCCGGAGAGCUAGCAGGCUGUCGCGUGUGGGUCGCGUGUCAGUGUCAACGGCCAGCCUCACUUUCGCUUGUGGCCUGGCGAGGGUCCCGCGUAAUCCCUCAGGUAUGCGGCCGGGUGACUGUCAGCCUGUGGACCGGAUGUUCUCGCCCUUCACGUCAGCAUGGUCCCAGAACCGGAAGCCAGCCUGACGCAGCUGCCGCCCCCGGAGCGCGCGGCGCCGCCCCCGGCGCGGACGGAGUCGGCCCGCGGCCCC